rnacentral:misc_RNA from 1 species
GAUGAAGAACGCAGCGAAACGCGAUAAGUAAUGUGAAUUGCAGAAUUCAGUGAAUCAUCGAGUCUUUGAACGCACAUUGCGCCCCCUGGUAUUCCGGGGGGCAUGCCUGUCCGAGCGUCAUUGCCGCCCUCAAGCACGGCUUGUGUGUUGGGCCCCCGCCCCCCGGCUUCGGGGGGCGGGCCCGAAAGGCAGCGGCGGCACCGCGUCCGGUCCUCGAGCGUAUGGGGCUUCGUCACCCGCUCUGUAGGCCCGGCCGGCGCCCGCCGGCGACCCCAAUCAAUCUUUCCAGGUUGACCUCGGAUCAGGUAGGGAUACCCGCUGAACUUAAGCAUAUCAAUAAGCGGAGGA